UACGUAGGGUGCGAGCGUUGUCCGGAAUCAUUGGGCGUAAAGGGCUCGUAGGCGGUCCAUCGCGUCGGGAGUGAAACGCUGGGGCUUAACCCCAGUCCUGCUUUCGAUACGGGUGGACUAGAGGUAGGCAGGGGAGAAUGGAAUUCCUGGUGUAGCGGUGAAAUGCGCAGAUAUCAGGAGGAACACCGGUGGCGAAGGCGGUUCUCUGGGCCUAAUCUGACGCUGAGGAGCGAAAGCGUGGGGAGCAAACGGG
rnacentral:rRNA from 1 species